UUUCCUAAACCCACUUGACCUUAGGGUCAUACCACUUGAACUUAAUAAAUGACUUAUAAAACAAAUAUCACAAUAUCAAAAACAUUUUUAAAAUCACAAUUAACUCGUAAAUAUUAAAUAUAAUAUUUACAAACCUACUCGUCGGAUUUGGUGGCCCCGAAACCACUAUUCCGAUUAACCCUAAAAAUGGGCUGUUACAAUAAAUAGAGGCCUCUCCCCCUUAUUGUAUUCAUUCAAUGAUUAAUAGAAUUUUGAGAGCAUUCACUCAAACUUUUCUCUCAAGUGUUCUUAUUUUUCUGUGGCUUUUGUUCAUCUUUUGAGAUCGUUCUUACUUCAUUCUUCUGCUGUUCUUCGUGGGUUCUUUGGAGGAGUUCUAUUGAAUCCUCAAUUGUUGCGAGAUAGGCUGACUUAGGCGUUUUUGAGUGGAGAAACGCUUAAGGCCGUAUGGAUUGCUUGGGAAAACUCUAAGUCUGUGACACUAGUAACUGGUUCCCUCUGAAGUUUCCCUUAGUAUAGCUGGAGCCCUUAGCGAGUUCUAUCGGGUAAAGCCAUUGAUCAGAGGCAUCUAGAGCUCAACGCCCUCGACCUCUUCUCAAACUUUAAAUAGGUAGGACGGCGUGGCUGCUUCAUUGAGCAGCGCCACGGAAUCGAGAGCUCCAAGUGGGCCAUUUUUGGUAAGCAGAACUGGCGAUACGGGAUGAACCAGAAGUCAAGUUACGGUGCCCAACUGCGCGCUAACCUAGAACCCACAAAAGGUGUUGGUCGAUUAAGACGGCAGGAUGGUGGUCAUGGAAGUCGAAAUCCGCUAAGGAGUGUGUAACAACUCACCGGCCGAAUCAACUAGCCCCAAAAAUGGAUGGCGCUUAAGCGCAUGACCUAUACCCGACCGUCGGGGCAAGGGCUAGGCCCCGAUGAGUAGGAGGGCGCGGUGGUCGUCGUAAAACCCAGGGCGCGAGCUCGGGCGGAGCGGUCGUCGGUGCAAAUCUUGGUGGUAGUAGUAAAUAUUCAAAUGAGAACUUUGAUGGCCGAAGAGGGGAAAGGUUCCAUGUGAACGGCACUUGUACAUGGGUUAGUCGAUCCUAAGAGACGGGGAAGCUCGUCCGAUAACGUGUCCAGCGCGAGCUUCGAAAGGGAUUCGGCUUAAAAUUCCUUAACCAGGACGCGGCAGCUGACGACAACGUUAGGGAGUCCAGAGACGUCGAUGGGGCCCUCGGGAAGAGUUAUCUUUUCUAUUUAACGUUAGGCGGCCCUUGAAAAUCUAAAAGACCGAGUGCCAUCCGCGCCCGGUCAUACUCAUAACGAACAGCCUCUGGUUAAUGGAACAAUGUAGGCAAGGGAAGUCGGCAAAAUGGAUUCGUAACCUCGGGAAAAGGAUUGGCUCUUGGGUCUGGGCAUGGGGGCCCUAGUCUCUAACCCAUCGGUUACCGAUGCACUGCUCAAGCUACUUUCAAGGUGAGAGUGGGUUGCCGCAUGCCGAUCGAGGGACAGACUGGGAACGGUUCCCUUAGGGGCCUUCCCAGGGCGACGAACAGCAAACUCAGAACUGGUACAGACAAGGGGAAUCCGACUGUUUAAUUAAAACAAAACAUUGCGAUGGUCCCUGCGGAUGCUCACGCAAUGUGAUUUCUGCCCAGUGCUCU
rnacentral:ncRNA from 1 species